GAUCAUGGCUCAGGAUGAACGCUAGCUACAGGCUUAACACAUGCAAGUCGAGGGGCAGCAUGUAUCUGGCUUGCCAGAUACGAUGGCGACCGGCGCACGGGCGAGUAACGCGUAUCCGACCUGCCGCACACUCCGGGAUAGCCUUGCGAAAGCAAGUUUAAUACCGGAUGCCGUAAGGACGCCGCAUGGUGUUUUUACGAAAGGGGUUUACCGGUGUGCGAUGGGGGUGCGUCCCAUUAG
rnacentral:rRNA from 1 species